rnacentral:rRNA from 1 species
AACGAACGCUGGCGGCAGGCCUAACACAUGCAAGUCGAGCGGGCGUAGCAAUACGUCAGCGGCGGACGGGUGAGUAACACGUGGGAAUAUGCCUUUCGGUUUGGAACAACUCGGGGAAACCCGUGCUAAUUCCGGAUACGCCCUUAGGGGGAAAGGAUUUAUCGCCGAAAGAUUAGCCCGCGUCCGAUUAGCUAGUUGGUGGGGUAAAGGCCUACCAAGGCGACGAUCAGUAGCUGGUCUGAGAGGAUGANCAGCCACACUGGGACUGAGACACGGCCCAGACUCCUACGGGAGGCAGCAGUAGGGAAUCUUGCGCAAUGGGCGAAAGCCUGACGCAGCCAUGCCGCGUGAAUGAUGAAGGUCUUAGGAUUGUAAAAUUCUUUCAGCGGGACGAUAANGACGGUACCCGCAGAAGAAGCCCCGGCUAACUU